rnacentral:tRNA from 1 species
GGUGGGGUUCCGGAGCGGUCAAACGGGACAGACUGUAAAUCUGCUGGCCAUGCCUACCUAGGUUCGAAUCCUAGCCCCACCACCA